AACAGGAUGGUCAAGUGGUCAAGGUGUUUGGCUUAAGAUCCAAUAGAUGCAUAUCAGCAUGGGUUCAAACCCCACUUCUGGUA